rnacentral:rRNA from 1 species
CCUACGGGAGGCAGCAGUGAGGAAUAUUGGUCAAUGGACGAGAGUCUGAACCAGCCAAGUAGCGUGAAGGAUGACUGCCCUAUGGGUUGUAAACUUCUUUUAUAAAGGAAUAAAACGAGGCACGUGUGCCUUUUUGCAUGUACUUUAUGAAUAAGGAUCGGCUAACUCCGUGCCAGCAGCCGCGGUAAUACGGAGGACCCGAGCGUUAUCCGGUGUUAUUGGGUUUAAAGGGAGCGUAGAUGGGUUGUUAAGUUAGUUGUGAAAGUUUGCGGCUCAACCGUAAAAUUGCAAUUGAUACUGGCAGUCUAGAGUAGAGUUGAGGUAGGCGGAAUUCGUGGUGUAGCGGUGAAAUGCUUAGAUAUCACGAAGAACCCCGAUUGCGAAGGCAGCUUACUAGACUGUGACUGACAUUGAUGCUCGAAAGUGUGGGUAUCAAACAGGAUUAGAUACCCUAGUAGUC